CAGGGCAUUGGGGCUUCCUUCG
rnacentral:miRNA from 1 species